AGUCAAUAUUUCAUUAGAAUUCUUAUCAUAUAGAGUAUUACAUACCUCUUUUUAUCUCUCCACCUUUCUAUUUAUAUGGAAUAUACCCCUUGCCUAACCUAAAGUAUAGGUACAGAGAAUAUUCAAUAGAAUAUUCCCCUAAAAUAUCUUAUUACAAAACUAGCCGUUAUGGUCGUCCUGAGUAUACGACCUCGGCCCCGAUUAAUCAGCUCGCCGAUAAGUUCCUUCAAUCUUGUGUACGACCUCGGCCUAAUCGCCUCUUAGUAAUUUAUCCUUGUGCAAGAUUCCCUUUGUCAGAUUUUGACAUAUACAAUACUAUUCAUACAAAAUACUAUCCAUAUCCCCCUCCCCCCUCCCGGUAUUUAAAUGCUUCAAAUAUGCCCCUCUCCGAAAUCGUAUAAAGAUAGACAAAAAAGAAUGGAUUAACCGUCCCUCCAAGAUCAGGUGCGUAGUAAAAUCAUAUUUCGCCAAUGCCAAUAUUGGGACGAGGGCUAUUAU
rnacentral:lncRNA from 1 species